rnacentral:tRNA from 1 species
AGCGGCGCCAAUGGUUCGGGGAGGUGCUUUGAGCAAUUGCCCACGGCACUCAUGAUGCCGGGGUCAGCGGUUCAAGUCCGCUCGCCGCUACCA